GAUGAACGCUAGCUACAGGCUUAACACAUGCAAGUCGCGGGACCGGCGCACGGGUGAGUAACGCGUAUCCAACCUGCCCUUCACCACGGGAUAACCCGGCGAAAGUCGGACUAAUACCGUAUGGUGAAGGCUGGGGAUGCGUGGGAUUGGCUUGACGGCGGGGUAACGGCCCACCGUGGCUACGCUCGGUAGGGGUUCUGAGCGGAAGGUCCACAACAAUGGAACGGAGACACGGUCCAGACUCCUACGGGAGGCAGCAGUGAGGAAUAUUGGUCAAGGGGCGUAAGCCUGAACCAGCCAAGUAGCGUGCAGGACGACGGCCUAUGGGGUGUAAACUGCUUUUAUGCGGGGAUAGGUACCGCAUGAAGAAGGACCGGCUAAUUCCGUGCCAGCAGCCGCGGUAAUAC
rnacentral:rRNA from 1 species